UCAUUCGCUUUCCUGCGCGUUUGGAAGAUGGCACACUACACAGGUGAGCAGGCUCUUCAGUGGUCCUGGACAGUGAGGAAGAGUUCACAUUUCCUCGGAAGAAGAACACGACUCUGACGAUGAACGUCUGUAUUUUGAAGAGCGACUUGAUCCAGCUGAAGAUACAGUUUCUGAUGAGAAUGUGGAUCCAUCACUCUCACAUUCACCUGCAAUUCCCACUAAGAGGGCACCCAGCAACACAGGCGGAAAUGAGAAAGACUAUAGCCCUAAUGAGAGUGCUCCAAAACCCCUUGCAAAAAAGGCCAAGAAAAACAUUCAGACAAGCAACAGGCAUUCAGCUCUGUCAUGGAAACAGAUAAUGACACUGACAUGGUUCCACAGACUCUGAGAUUCCUACCUGCACGGGAACCUGGACCACAGCUGCGUCCUGCUGAUGAAACACACUCCUAAGAGUCUCUUCAAAAUGUUCAAAAUGCAAGGAAUAAUGCCACCGCUGGUCGUCGGAACUGCAUGCUUUGCAAAGUACAGCUUGGUAAAAGGCAAGACACACCUUGGAAAUGCCAGGCAUGUGACAUUUACUUGUGUCUUCAGUUGAAAAGGAACUGUUUUCAAAAAUGGCACACAGAUGUGUGACUGUUCAGAUUCUCUGUUCACCACUUCUCACUGACCAUUGGGCUGCAAAGAUUAUCUAUAUGUGAUCAAGCAGGUUAUGUAUAGGGUGUAAAAGUGGGCUUUUUUUAUAAACCUUACCUUUAUUUGCCUGUAUACACAAAAUGUGCCUUUGACCCUAGUUUAUAUGUGGAUUAUAUUGUUAACUUUAUUUUAAAUAAAAAAGAAAAAAAACAA